rnacentral:rRNA from 1 species
CGACGUGAGGAACCUGCCUUGAGGAGGGGGACAACAGUUGGAAACGACUGCUAAUACCGCAUGACGCAUAGAGGUCGCAUGAUCUUUAUGCCAAAGAUUUAUCGCUUCAAGAUGGCCUCGCGUCUGAUUAGCUAGUUGGCGGGGUAACGGCCCACCAAGGCGACGAUCAGUAGCCGGACUGAGAGGUUGAACGGCCACAUUGGGACUGAGAUACGGCCCAG